rnacentral:rRNA from 1 species
UGGGGAAUUUUGCACAAUGGGGGAAACCCUGAUGCAGCGACGCCGCGUGAUUUAGAAGGCCUUCGGGUUGUAAAAAUCUUUUUUAUGGGAUGAAAAUGACAGUACCAUAAGAAUAAGGUCCGGCUAAAUACGUGCCAGCAGCCGCGGUAAUACGUAUGGACCGAGCGUUGUCCGGAAUCAUUGGGCGUAAAGGGUUCGCAGGCGGAAAUGCAAGUCAGGUGUAAAAGGCAGUAGCUUAACUACUGUAAGCAUUUGAAACUGCAUAUCUUGAGAAGAGUAGAGGUAAGUGGAAUUUUUAGUGUAGCGGUGAAAUGCGUAGAUAUUAAAAAGAAUACCGGUGGCGAAGGCGACUUACUGGGCUCAUUCUGACGCUGAGGAACGAAAGCGUGGGUAGCAAACAGG